UUUGGCAUUCAGUUACAUAUAUAAUGCUUUAGUCCAUCACUUUUUAAAUCUAAAAAUGACAAGUUUUUAUGCUGUUUGUGUAAAAUCUUGUUGUGACUUGUUUAUGCAAUUAGAAUUUGAAAUCAGUUUGUAAAUGUUUUACCACAGGACAUGUUGGUGGGAGUCCUGCACCAUGUCACAGGAGAACACACGUGGGCUCUUGGUGAGUGUAAACAUGGCCCCUUGCUGGACGACAGAGAUAAAGAAUUGACUGAGAGUGGUUCAGUGGCACAUGAGAGGCUGGCUGAAAUUAUUCUCGAUGAACGCUGGCUGAAGGUCGACCCCAAGUAUCUGAAUUUCAGGUCAACUGCAGAUUUGGAGUAAUUUCACAACCACAUACUGAUGUAUGCCAGCAAGCGCUUCAGCUUUUCCCCACCAGUUUAUGCUGCUCGUACCAUGCUGGCUGGCCUCGAUUACAACCAUCAUCUCCAUAGACCAGCCAGGAGAAAAGCUGAUGGCACAAUUCAGUAUGGCAAGGUGUAAACAAAAAGUCCAGGAAGUGGAGGUUAUACUCAAUGAAGGUGGAGAAGGACUACAGCUACAUCUCUGACCUACAGCGUGCCAUCCUCCUUCGACGGAUAUCAGCUAAUAAUGGAUUUAUUGAAAAAAAAAUUCUAUGUCAAUCGCUGCCGAAACAAUGAAUAAUCUCCACAGGACCAUAGCUGAUGUGAUGCUACGUCCCAAGUCUGACCCAUCUACCAGUCAAGAUACCUCUGGAAACACAAUGUCUUAUAUGUGUUAUUGUUGAUUGUGCUAAUGUUUUUUAUAUUUGUGAUUAUAGUUUCUAGCUUUAGUAAUACAGAAAUAAAAAAGUGACAUUCUA